rnacentral:rRNA from 1 species
CACGUAGGGUGCGAGCGUUGUCCGGAAUUAUUGGGCGUAAAGAGCUCGUAGGCGGUGUGUCGCGUCGACCGUGAAAACUUGCAGCUUAACUGUGGGCGUGCGGUCGAUACGGGCAUCACUGGAGUUCGGCAGGGGAGACUGGAAUUCCUGGUGUAGCGGUGAAAUGCGCAGAUAUCAGGAGGAACACCGGUGGCGAAGGCGGGUCUCUGGGCCGAUACUGACGCUGAGGAGCGAAAGCGUGGGGAGCGAACAGG